GGGAAUUUACGAAUUAUUGCAUUUUUGUUGAUAGAAAGUUAAAGUGAAUUUUAAAUCGAAAAUGACGAGACCAUGAAAAUUAAUAAAAAACACACAACCUGACCAUCAUAUAUACAUAUAGGAAGUUCCUUUAAUAUAACACAGCCUAGAAUCCAAUACCAGCAUUAACGAGAACUCUACAUGGGAAUGACAUGUCUUGUUUACCAAAAUUAGAACUUUUUUUUUUUUCACAUAAACUUGAACUUCUUAAAGAUAUAAAAAUUUGAACUUCCUUUAUGAAACAACUAUGUAAGAUCUCUUUCCUAAAAAACUCCAUGGCCGCCACCAACAUGUCCUCCCCCCCCCGUGGCCAUGGUGGGCAUGUGCCCCGCCCCCGUGGCCAUGGUGGGCAUGUGCCCCGCCCCAGUGGCCAUGGUGGCCAUGUGCCCCGCCCCCGUGUCCAUGGUGGCCAUGUGCCCCGCCCCCGUGGCCAUGGUGGCCAUGUGCCCCGCCCCCGUGGCCAUGGUGGCCAUGUGCCCCGCCACUGCCAUCUCCUCCAUCUCCUUCAACUCUGCCUCCUCCAUCUCCUCCAUCUCCGUCUCCUCCAUCUCCGUCUCCUCCAUCGAUACCUCUAUUGUCUUUCUUCUUGCGAGACGAUGUACCACAAGAAAGUAUUAUAGCUGAAAUUACUGAAAGGAACAUCAGGAUCAUACAAACCAAGUAUAGACCACCACCAGCACUUGGAAGCAAUAAAUCUGCAUGUCUACGACUAACACCUAGACCAACAAGGUUCCUAGCCAUUUCUGUUCGUGUUCUGGGAGCCUAAUUUUAGGAGGAGGAAUUUAUUUAUAAACUAUAAUUCCCAUGAUAAUUAAUAAAAAGAUAUUUAGAAGUUGGAAAAGAGAAUCUAUCUCCACCUUAUAUUGCACUCCACGUAGAUUGCAU
rnacentral:lncRNA from 1 species